AUUUGGAAAGCCAAGAUCCCCCUUAAAAUUAAAAUCUUUCUAUGGCAACUGUUCCAAGAUGCGAUCCUGACUAGAGAAGUCAUGAAGAAGCGGAAUUGGGCGGGCAAUCCUAGAUGCUCGUUCUGCAGAGACGUUGAAACGUUGCAACCUCUGUUUUUCACUUGUCCCGUUGCUCGGGUGGUUUGGAGGACGGUCGGGUGUGUGUUUGGCACGGCUCUAUGCCCGAACAACAUCUGGCAAUACUUCUCCUGGUGUUAUGUUUUCCUUCUGGAUGGGGACAGUUUCUAUACCUUUGGUUUGGCAGCCGUGUGCUGGGCAAUCUGGAACUGUCACAACCAGGCUACCUUUUAA
rnacentral:rRNA from 1 species